rnacentral:rRNA from 1 species
GAUGAACGCUGGCGGCGUGCCUAAUACAUGCAAGUCGAGCGAACGGACGAGAAGUUUGCUUCUCUGAGGUUAGCGGCGGACGGGUGAGUAACACGUGGAUAACCUACUUAUAAGCCUGGGAUAACUUCGGGAAACCGGAGCUAAUACCGGAUAAUAUUUUGAACCGCAUGGUUCAAAAGUGAAAGACGGUCUUGCUUUUACUUAUAGAUGGAUCCGCGCUGCAUUAGCUAGUUGGUAAGGUAACGGCUUACCAAGGCAACGAUGCAUAGCCGACCUGAGAGGGUGAUCGGCCACACUGGAACUGAGACACGGUCCAGACUCCUACGGGAGGCAGCAGUAGGGAAUCUUCCGCAAUGGGCGAAAGCCUGACGGAGCAACGCCGCGUGAGUGAUGAAGGUCUUCGGAUCGUAAAACUCUGUUGUUAGGGAAGAACAUGUGUGUAAGUAACUGUGCACAUCUUGACGGUACCUAAUCAGAAAGCCACGGCUAACUACGUG